AUUGAACGCUGGCGGCAUGCUUUACACAUGCAAGUCGAACGGUAACAGGCCUUCGGGUGCUGACGAGUGGCGAACGGGUGAGUAAUGCAUCGGAACGUGCCCAGAGGUGGGGGAUAACGCAGCGAAAGCUGUGCUAAUACCGCAUGUGAUCUGAGGAUGAAAGCGGGGGACCAGGCAGCAAUGUUUGGCCUCGCGCCUUUGGAGCGGCCGAUGUCAGAUUAGGUAGUUGGUGGGGUAAAGGCCUACCAAGCCGACGAUCUGUAGCUGGUCUGAGAGGACGACCAGCCACACUGGGACUGAGACACGGCCCAGACUCCUACGGGAGGCAGCAGUGGGGAAUUUUGGACAAUGGGCGAAAGCCUGAUCCAGCAAUGCCGCGUGAGGGAAGAAGGCCUUCGGGUUGUAAACCGCUUUUGUACGGAACGAAAAGGCUCUGGCUAAUACCUGGGGCUGAUGACGGUACCGUAAGAAUAAGCACCGGCUAACUACGUG
rnacentral:rRNA from 1 species